AAUUACACAAGUGGCACGUGAAUACAUUCUCUCUGUGAAACAAUUAGAACAUGUGUGAUAAAUUCAAGCCUUAUUUAGCCACCAACUCCAGUCCCAGCACCUCUCCCUAUGAAAAUAGAAAAAUCUCUGGUCUAUCCUCCUUUUAUUGGCCUUCUCCAUUCUCUGAGCAACUUGAGAACAGACAUCCCCAGCUCACUGCUGAAGGCAUCUGAACCAGUGUCAAUAAAUGGCCUUUCCUGGUUGAGAAUAUGCAAACCAAAGAUGGAAGUAUGUUAAGACUUACUUUAAUAUUGUUAAUUAGUGGGCUUGAAAAAAAAAUGAUUAAAG
ensembl:processed_transcript Gm29229 predicted gene 29229